GCGGCCAUAGGACCCUGAAAGCACUGCAUCCCGUCCGAUCUGCAAAGUUAAGCAGCGGGUUACCGCCUAGCUAGUACUGCGGUGGGGGACCACGCGGGAAUCCUAGGUGCUGCAGUUU
rnacentral:rRNA from 1 species